GGACCCGCACAAGCGGUGGAACAUGUGGUUUAAUUCGAUAACAAACGAAGAACCUCACCAGGACUUGACAUCUAUGGAAUCUCUAAGAAACUAGAGAGUGCCGCAAGGAGCCAUAAGACAGGUGCUGCACGGUCGUCGUCAGCUCGUGCUGUGAAGUGUCCCGUUAAGUCGGUUAACGAGCGCAACCCCUAUUGCAUGUUGAAUUUUUCAUGCGAGACUGCCGGUGUUAAAUCGGAGGAAGGCGGGGAUGACGUCAGAUCAGCGUGGCUUUUACGUCCUGGGCUACACACGUGUUACAAUGGGUAGAACAAAGGGUCGCUAAAUCGCAAGAUGGAGCUAAUCCCAUUCAAAUCUAUCCUCAGUUCGGAUUGAGGGCUGCAACUCGCCCUCAUGAAGUCGGAAUCGCUAGUAACCGUAGGUCAGCUAUACUACGGUGAAUACGUUCUCGGGUCUU
rnacentral:rRNA from 1 species